rnacentral:rRNA from 1 species
UUGCCCUAGUAACGGCGAGUGAAGCGGCAAAAGCUCAAAUUUGAAAUCUGGCCCUAGCGGUCCGAGUUGUAAUUUGCAGAGGAUGCUUUUGGUGCGGUGCCUUCCGAGUUCCCUGGAACGGGACGCCAUAGAGGGUGAGAGCCCCGUACGGUUGGACACCUAGCCUCUAUAUAGCUCCUUCGACGAGUCGAGUAGUUUGGGAAUGCUGCUCUAAAUGGGAGGUAAAUUUCUUCUAAAGCUAAAUACCGGCCAGAGACCGAUAGCGCACAAGUAGAGUGAUCGAAAGAUGAAAAGCACUUUGAAAAGAGGGUUAAAUAGCACGUGAAAUUGUUGAAAGGGAAGCGUUUGCGACCAGACCUUCUCCAGGGGGAUCAACCGUUAUUUUUAGCGGUGCACUCCCCCUGGUUUAGGCCAGCAUCGGUUCUCUUAGGGGGAUAAAGGCCUGGGGAACGUAGCUCUUUAGGGAGUGUUAUAGCCCCUAGCGUAAUACCCUUCAGGGGACCGAGGACCGCGCUUCGGCAAGGAUGCUGGCGUAAUGGUCGUCAACGACCCG